CACGUAGGGGGCGAGCGUUGUCCGGAAUUACUGGGCGUAAAGGGUGCGUAGGCGGUCUGUUAAGUCAGAUGUGAAAGACCUGGGCUCAACCCGGGAUGUGCAUCUGAGACUGGCGGACUUGAGUGCAGGAGAGGGAAGUGGAAUUUCUAGUGUAGCGGUGGAAUGCGUAGAUAUUAGGAAGAACACCAGUGGCGAAGGCGGCUUCCUGGACUGUAACUGACGCUGAGGCACGAAAGCGUGGGGAGCGAACAGGAUUAGAUACC
rnacentral:rRNA from 1 species